rnacentral:rRNA from 1 species
AGUGGGGAAUAUUGGACAAUGGGCGCAAGCCUGAUCCAGCUAUGCCGCGUGAAUGAUGAAGGCCUUAGGGUUGUAAAGUUCUUUUAGAUGGGAAGAUUAUGACGGUACCAUCAGAAAAAGCUCCGGCUAACUUCGUGCCAGCAGCCGCGGUAAUACGAAGGGAGCAAGCGUUGCUCGGAUUUAUUGGGCGUAAAGGGUGUGUAGGCGGUUUUGUAAGUUAGAUGUGAAAGCCCCGGGCUUAACCCGGGAAUUGCAUUUAAGACUGCAUGACUUGAAGUUCGAAGAGGUAAGCAGAAUUCCCAGUGUAGAGGUGAAAUUCGUAGAUAUUGGGAAGAAUACCAAUGGCGUAGGCAGCUUACUGGUCGACACUUGACGCUGAGGCACGAAAGCGUGGGUAGCAAA